rnacentral:rRNA from 1 species
CUGGAGGUAUCAGAAGUGCGAAUGCUGACAUAAGUAACGAUAAAGCGGGUGAAAAGCCCGCUCGCCGGAAGACCAAGGGUUCCUGUCCAACGUUAAUCGGGGCAGGGUGAGUCGACCCCUAAGGCGAGGCCGAAAGGCGUAGUCGAUGGGAAACGGGUUAAUAUUCCCGUACUUGGUGUUACUGCGAAGGGGGGACGGAGAAGGCUAUGUUGGCCGGGCGACGGUUGUCCCGGUUUAAGCGUGUAGGUGUGUGUUCCAGGUAAAUCCGGUUCACUUUAACACUGAGGCGUGACGACGAGGCACUACGGUGCUGAAGCAACAAAUGCCCUGCUUCCAGGAAAAGCCUCUAAGCAUCAGGUAACAUCAAAUCGUACCCCAAACCGACACAGGUGGUCAGGUAGAGAAUACCAAGGCGCUUGAGAGAACUCGGGUGAAGGAACUAGGCAAAAUGGUGCCGUAACUUCGGGAGAAGGCACGCUGACACGUAGGUGAAGUGAUUUACUCAUGGAGCUGAAGUCAGUCGAAGAUACCAGCUGGCUGCAACUGUUUAUUAAAAACACAGCACUGUGCAAACAUGAAAGUGGACGUAUACGGUGUGACGCCUGCCCGGUGCCGGAAGGUUAAUUGAUGGGGUCAGCGCAAGCGAAGCUCCUGAUCGAAGCCCCGGUAAACGGCGGCCGUAACUAUAACGGUCCUAAGGUAGCGAAAUUCCUUGUCGGGUAAGUUCCGACCUGCACGAAUGGCGUAAUGAUGGCCAGGCUGUCUCCACCCGAGACUCAGUGAAAUUGAACUCGCUGUGAAGAUGCAGUGUACCCGCGGCAAGACGGAAAGACCCCGUGAACCUUUACUAUAGCUUGACACUGAACAUUGAGCCUUGAUGUGUAGGAUAGGUGGGAGGCUUUGAAGUGUGGACGCCAGUCUGCAUGGAGCCGACCUUGAAAUACCACCCUUUAAUGUUUGAUGUUCUAACGUGGACCCGUAAUCCGGGUUGCGGACAGUGUCUGGUGGGUAGUUUGACUGGGGCGGUCUCCUCCUAAAGAGUAACGGAGGAGCACGAAGGUUGGCUAAUCCUGGUCGGACAUCAGGAGGUUAGUGCAAUGGCAUAAGCCAGCUUGACUGCGAGCGUGACGGCGCGAGCAGGUGCGAAAGCAGGUCAUAGUGAUCCGGUGGUUCUGAAUGGAAGGGCCAUCGCUCAACGGAUAAAAGGUACUCCGGGGAUAACAGGCUGAUACCGCCCAAGAGUUCAUAUCGACGGCGGUGUUUGGCACCUCGAUGUCGGCUCAUCACAUCCUGGGGCUGAAGUAGGUCCCAAGGGUAUGGCUGUUCGCCAUUUAAAGUGGUACGCGAGCUGGGUUUAGAACGUCGUGAGACAGUUCGGUCCCUAUCUGCCGUGGGCGCUGGAGAACUGAGGGGGGCUGCUCCUAGUACGAGAGGACCGGAGUGGACGCAUCACUGGUGUUCGGGUUGUCAUGCCAAUGGCACUGCCCGGUAGCUAAAUGCGGAAGAGAUAAGUGCUGAAAGCAUCUAAGCACGAAACUUGCCCCGA